rnacentral:lncRNA from 1 species
UGGCUUCUGCUGCCAGCUACAGCUGCCAGCACUCUGGUGGGGGUGAAGGAUCAGGCUCAGUGAAUUCUUGUGUCUUUGCUGGAGAAGAGUUGUGGCUGAGAAGAAAUCAUUGUUUUGCCAACAAGAAUACUUGUCUAGUACAAACAGUUUCUGCAGUAGAGAAAAGUUUUUGCAGCCUCCCUGAAUUUUUAACAUAG